rnacentral:rRNA from 1 species
AUACAUGCAAGUCGAGCGGACAGAUGGGAGCUUGCUCCCUGAUGUUAGCGGCGGACGGGUGAGUAACACGUGGGUAACCUGCCUGUAAGACUGGGAUAACUCCGGGAAACCGGGGCUAAUACCGGAUGGUUGUCUGAACCGCAUGGUUCAGACAUAAAAGGUGGCUUCGGCUACCACUUACAGAUGGACCCGCGGCGCAUUAGCUAGUUGGUGAGGUAACGGCUCACCAAGGCGACGAUGCGUAGCCGACCUGAGAGGGUGAUCGGCCACACUGGGACUGAGACACGGCCCAGACUCCUACGGGAGGCAGCAGUAGGGAAUCUUCCGCAAUGGACGAAAGUCUGACGGAGCAACGCCGCGUGAGUGAUGAAGGUUUUCGGAUCGUAAAGCUCUGUUGUUAGGGAAGAACAAGUGCCGUUCAAAUAGGGCGGCACCUUGACGGUACCUAACCAGAAAGCCACGGCUAACUACGUGCCAGCAGCCGCGGUAAUACGUAGGUGGCAAGCGUUGUCCGGAAUUAUUGGGCGUAAAGGGCUCGCAGGCGGUUUCUUAAGUCUGAUGUGAAAGCCCCCGGCUCAACCGGGGAGGGUCAUUGGAAACUGGGGAACUUGAGUGCAGAAGAGGAGAGUGGAAUUCCACGUGUAGCGGUGAAAUGCGUAGAGAUGUGGAGGAACACCAGUGGCGAAGGCGACUCUCUGGUCUGUAACUGACGCUGAGGAGCGAAAGCGUGGGGAGCGAACAGGAUUAGAUACCCUGGUAGUCCACGCCGUAAACGAUGAGUGCUAAGUGUUAGGGGUUUCCGCCCCUUAGUGCUGCAGCUAACGCAUUAAGCACUCCGCCUGGGGAGUACGGUCGCAAGACUGAAACUCAAAGGAAUUGACGGGGGCCCGCACAGCGGU